UAUAAAACUUUGCCAGCGCUCCUUUUGU
rnacentral:piRNA from 1 species